rnacentral:rRNA from 1 species
UACGGGGGGGGCAAGCGUUGUUCGGAAUUACUGGGCGUAAAGGGCUCGUAGGCGGCCAACUAAGUCGGAUGUGAAAUCCCCAGGCUUAACCUGGGAACUGCAUCCGAUACUGGAUGGCUUGAAUCCGGGAGAGGGAUGCAGAAUUCCAGGUGUAGCGGUGAAAUGCGUAGUAUAUCGUGGAGGAAUACCAGUGGCGAAGGCGACUUACUGGACGACUGUUGACACUGAGGUGCGAAAGCGUGGGGAGCAAACAGG